UACGUAGGGUCCGAGCGUUGUCCGGAAUCAUUGGGCGUAAAGAGCUCGUAGGCGGUUCAGCAAGUCGGCUGUGAAAUUCCGAGGCUCAACCUCGGAACUGCAGUCGAUACUGCUGUGACUCGAGUCCGGUAGAGGAGAAUGGAAUUCCCGGUGUAGUGGUGAAAUGCGUAGAGAUCGGCAGGAACACCCAGGGGGAAACCAGUGGACUGGCACGGUGCUGACGCUCAGGUGCGAAAGCGUGGGGAGCGAACCGG
rnacentral:rRNA from 1 species